GCCCCAGAACUAAUUUUUAAAAGACUUUUUGAAUGUGGCCAUUUAUCUACCUUUUCUUUUUUCUUCCCUUUUUUUUUUUUUUUUCAUAUCAGAGUAUAGAGUGUUGGUAAGGUUCUCAAUGGUGGAUAACUAUAAAAAUUGUAAUUAGCCAAGCUACACUUCAGGUUUGUGAGCUGAGCAACAUAUAAUAAGGUCUGUCUUGAUUAUUGACCCAAGAUGUUUAGGUCUGUUUCAGGUUACUACAGACAAGAGAAAGAAAAGCCAUGAUGUUUUGCCACCUAAUACAGAUUUUUUUUUCCCUUUAGUGCAAACGCUACAUGUUACCUAAAUGAAUAACUAAAAAUGAUCUUGAAGAGUUACCACCUGAGCUAUUUAUGUGAAAAUCUUGCUUUUCUAAAAUUAAUAUGAUGAAAGGUGGAUAUCUGUAGCUCUAUAGACUUGACAAACUGCAUUGUGUACGAGGCCAAAAUAGAGAAAAUAUUUUUUUUAAUUUUUAAAUGAUAUGAUUUUAUGCUUGUACUUUCCUUAAGUAAUAGGAAAUGACUUAUUUCCCAUUUUGCCUUUAGCCUUUGUAUAUGAAUUAAUGUGUAUAACAAUCCUGUCUCUUUGGUGGAUCAGCUGGUUUGUUUAUGAGCAUUAUUCAUUUUUUCCUUUGCGUUCAUGCACAGGAAGAAUUUUCCAUGUUCUGAGGGAAUUGAAUUAAAACACUAAUCCCCCAAAUUAGAUUUAGAGGUGGUUAACUAAGCCCCUAAAAGUGUAAAAAGGGAAACCAUAUAUCAUCUAAAUAGAUGCAGUGACCAAGGCUUCCUUCUUCUCUCAAUGCAACAUUAUUAUAGUUACAGAUCUCCCAUAUGAAAUUGGAUAGCCCUUCAAAAUUGAAUAUGCCUUCUCUUACAAGAGUUUGGUGGGAAUAAAAGGGGGGAAAAAAAAGACAUGCUUUCAUUUUCUUUGAAAACCAGUCAAUGUGCAACAUUUACUUUUUCAAUUGUCUUUUUCAGAAACUUGCACCGGAAACAGAGCCACCUAAGUGAUUCAUCUAGUCCCAACUGUAUCAGGGCAAAAGCCUGUCAGCAGUGGGACUAAAUGGUGCCCUUCCAUCUGUCUUAUAUCCAGGAGUUUCUCAGGCCCUGUGAUUAAAGGACUUAACAAGAAAGAGAGCCCACAUUUUCAUCAAGUAUCUUGAUUCAUCUAAGGGUAAGUCCAUGGCCUUUGCCAAUAAUUGACUCAGGGGUGGGCAUAUGAAUUCCUUUGGGCCCAUGAUAAGUGAGGGAAAAUUUGCUAAGGACUUCUGAGGAUGGUUUCCUAGUUUUCAAGACAAAGUUACAGAAAAAAACAUUGUUCUCCUCUGGCAUCAUCAUGUGUAGCAUUGGGACCUAAAACUGCACAAGGCUCAAGAUGAAGCCAGCCCUUAUGGGAUAGAAUCAAGAGAAUUAUAAAGAAAUAGUGCAGCUAGAUUGUGUCAAGUGUGAAGUCCAUCUGGGCAUCCAAGAAAGUGACCCAGUAUAGCUCUGUGUUGUUUAAACCAUUUGGAAUUGGGUUUUUGUUCCUUGUGACCAAAGGCAUUCUAAGUGAAGCAUACAUAUAUGAUUCAGCUUCCUCAGCUGUAAGUGAUGGUAUUAACAUCUGGCCUGCCCUACCACUCCAAUGAGUGGUUUUGGAGCUCAAGAUGAGCCAAUGUAUGUGAAUGUGCUUUGCAAACUAUAAAUUACUAUUCAAGGGCAAACUGGUACUAUUAUUAAUAAUU